UACGUAGGGGGCAAGCGUUGUCCGGAAUCAUUGGGCGUAAAGCGCGUGUAGGCGGUUCGAUAAGUCUGCUGUGAAAGUCCAGGGCUCAACCCUGGGAUGCCGGUGGAUACUGUCGGGCUAGAGUGCGGAAGAGGCGAGUGGAAUUCCCGGUGUAGCGGUGAAAUGCGUAGAUAUCGGAAGGAACAUCAGUGGCGAAAGCGGCUUCCUGGACCAGAACUGACGAUCAGGCUCGAAAGCGUGGGGAGCAAACAGG
rnacentral:rRNA from 1 species